UGGGGGUUCGGUGUCCGUCUGCUUUUUGUUUUGUUAUUUUUUUUUUGUUUUUCUUUCCCUCCCUCUCACUUUUAGGACCGGACGCUCCGUCUCCUCUGCCUUUUGGGACGCCCUGCAUUCUGCUUUACGGGUUGGUGCUGCGGAUGCCUGGAGACGCAGGCCCUUUGCGCAGUGAAGCCGAUUCAAAGAUUCCAGAAACGCAGUGAAGAUUUACGGGGAAGAGGACUGGACGUGGUGGGUAGUGGGUGACCAGGCUGGUGUCCAUCCUCCGGGGGUCUGCUGCGUCUUCAGCGAUUCACCAUUUUUUUUUUUUUUGAUACCCUGUGUUGGUUUGGGGAACAUCUGGGUAGAACUAGUAAUAUUAUAGGAUGGAUGUGGGGAGUUACAAGCCGUUCUGGUGGGCCAUCUCCCGCCUGGCUACACCCUGGUUCAAGUAAUCCAGGAUAGGCUGUUUCCUGGCACAGCGGCCUAUUCUUGACUACUUGUUUCAGGUGGUGGUCACCAGCGUCUCGAUUUUUCAGGAGGACAUUUGGGCAGCCUGGUGGGUGGGUGGGGGGAGGUCAGUGCCCAGCGGACGGACGGACGAGGAGAAGCGGACCAGGUGUAAUCAAAGGGUGGGACUGGAAGCCAUUUAAGUAAAGCGUGCAAUUCCUGUGGGUUCAGCUAGAAGGCUAAGUAGUGACUUUGUUUAAAAAAAUAAAUAAAUAAAAAUAGUUCAGUGCAAUAAACACAAAA